rnacentral:lncRNA from 1 species
CAAUGCAUGCAUUUGGAAAAGAAUCUGUUUUUUUUAUAAAACUUAAAAUAUCAAUAGGGGUACUAGUUUCUGUUUGUAAAAAUUCUUUUAAAAUUUUUAACUCUGAAAACAGAUCAAUACUACCAAUAUCAGAAUAUUCACCAUGCUUUAAAAAGUUUUCAAGAUUAAGACAACACUUUUUCAAAUCAUCUUCAUUCAAAGAUUUUAACUUUCUAAAAUUAAACAAAAAACCAAAAACAUUUUCAUAUACGGUAAAUUGUUCAAACCUAUUUUGAAUUGAAAAAAUAGCUUGAUCUAC